rnacentral:rRNA from 1 species
CCUACGGGCGGCAGCAGGAGGGAAUAUUGCGCAAUGGGGGAAACCCGGAAGCAGCAACGCCGCGUGGAGGAUGAAGGUUUUCGGAUUGUAAACUCCUUUUGUUAGAGAAGAGAAUGACGGUAUCUAACGAAUAAGCACCGGCAAAUCGCGUGCCAGCAGCCGCGGUAAUACGGAGGGUGCAAGCGUUACUCGGAAUCACGGGGCGUAAGAGCGCGUAGGCGGGAUAGCAAGUCAGAUGUGAAAUCCUAUGGCUUAACCAUAGAACUGCAUUUGACACUGUUAUUCUAGAGUAUGGGAGAGGUAGGUGGAAUGCUUGGUGUAGAGGUGAAAUCCGUAGAGAUCAAGAGGAAUACUGAUUGCGAAGGCGGCCCGCUAGAACGUAACUGACGCUGAUGCGCGAAAGCGUGGGGAGCAAACAGGAUUAGAUACCCUAGUAGUC